CCAGGUCAGAGACGUGACAGCUGGGGGUGGAGGGGGUGGAGGGAAAACACAUGGUGCAGGGCCCUGUUGUCCAAGGUCCACUCCUUCAUCACACCUGGGACUACUCUCAUAUUUGUUCCCUCCUAUCCUGAGUCCUAGUGGGUUUUCAUUUGCACUCCAGGGUUCAGCUGCAGACCCACCAGGUGAAGACCCACCAGAUGGAGUCUUUCUCUGUUGCCCAGGCUGGAGUGCAGUGGUGCGAUCUUGGCUCACUACAACCUCUGCUUCCCAGGUUCAAGCAAUUCUCCUGCCUCAGUCUCCUGAGUAGCUGGGACUACAGGCACAUGCCACCAAACCCGGCUAAUUUUUUGUAUUUUUAGUAGAGACAGGGUUUCACUGUGUUAGCCAGGAUGGCCUUGAUCUCCUGACCUCGUGAUCCACCCACCUCGGGCUCCCAAAGUGCUGGGAUUACAGGCAUGAGCCACUGUGCCUGGCCCCCUCCUGGUCUUAAAGUUUGAAGCCUGCAUUUGUCUUAUCUGAGUUCUUGCCACAGGAAAUCAACGAAUUGAAACUCACCAGAUCACUGCAUCCAGACAAUGAGAUGCCAGACCCCUCAUCCCUCCUGAUUUCCUUAUCCCUCCCUAAUUCCUUUGACCAACUCCUCUUCCUUACCUCUCCCUAACUCUGGUUUUCCCACAUGUAGUUACAUUUCUUCCCUGCUGUAUAACCCCCUGAUUUUAGUUGACUAGGGAGAUGGAUUUGAGACUGAUCCCCAUUUUCCUUGGCUAAAGCACUCAAUUAAAGCCUUCUUCCCAGGCAGUACUCAUUGUCUUGGUGAUUGGCUUUCUGUGCAGUGAGCAACGGGACCUAGACUGGAGCCCUGGCAUUUCAGUAACAGAUUUUGGUUCCCUACCUGGGAACACAUUGCUUGUGGCUCAGCUGCUGCAGACUGGGACUUUCAGAAGCCCCCUGUACAGCUGUCUGACCUUUUUUUGGCUGGAGGUGGGUUUCCAUCUUUUUCUCUUUGGCUCUGCUGCUGCCAGCCCCAAAUGUAUUGCUGAUUGCCUAGGAAGAACAGACUUUGAAAUUUGAUAUCUGUGUCUGGAUGGAUGAGUGUCUUUUCUGGGUUCCAGACAGCAGGAAGGGCUCCUCUCAAUUUGGGAAUUUUCUAAGGAAUUUCCAUUUGCAGGUUGAAUAAGCCCAAAUGAUGGAGGGAGGAAAGCACCAUGACUGUUUCAGUUUGGACACUCUUGGGGCUUGUUAGUGAGAACUAAGCUCUGAUUUUUAAAAUCUUGCCCAAAUUCCUAUCUAAGGGGUCUAGAGAAGUCAUGCUCUACAAACCAUAAAUUCUCAUCAGAUUUUUGUUGUUGUUGUUGAGACAGUCUUACUCUGUUGCCCAGGCUGGAGUGCAAUGGUGCGAUCUCAGCUCACUGCAACCUCUGCCUCCUGGGUUCAAGCAAUUCUCCUGCCUCAGCCUCACGAGUAGCUGGAAUUACAGGUGCCUGCCACUACGCCCUGCCAAUUUUUGUAUUUUUCGUAGAGAUGGGGUUUCACCAUAAUGGCCAGGCUGUUCUCGAACUCCUGACCUCAGGUGAUCUGCCUGCCUCAGCCUCCAAAAGUGCAGGGAUUACAAGCGUGAGCCACCAUGCCCAGCCCAGAUGGGUUUUAUUUAACUUACAUAUUGUGACUUACUUUCCAAUCUUACUCUGGUAUAACAUUACACGACAAAGAAGAAAGUCAUAAUAUUUUACCCCAAAACAUGUUUCUUUGCCAUAUUUUGAAAUGGCCCUGCAAAGUUGUCCUUUGUGGGGGGGAAAUGUGCAUCUGUAAAGAAUCUCUAUUAACAUAGCUAGAUCUUUUUCUUUCAGGCCCUCCCAAUCCUGAAGAGAUUAACUAAGAGUCUAGCACCUUUUAAAGGUCUGAAUAGGAAACAUUUGUCAACUAUUGUUUCUAAGGGCAGCCACUGUAAGACUUCAAAAGAACCUUGGUCUCCACAAUCUUUUAACCUGAACAUUUCCUUUCUAUGAUCCCAGGUCUUUAGACAAACUCAACCAAUUGUCAACCAGAAGAUGUUUAAAUUUACCUAUAGCCUGGAAGCCCCACCCUGCUUUGAGUUGUAUCGCCUUUCUGGGCCAAACAAAUGUAUAUCUUAAAUGUAUUUGAUUGAUGUCUCAUGCCUCCUUAAAAUGUAUAAAACCAAGCUGCACCCCAACGACCUUGGGCACAUGUUCUCAGGACCUCCUGGGGACUGUGUCAUGGGCCAUGGUCACUCAUAUUUGGCUCAGAAUAAAUCUCUUCAAA
rnacentral:lncRNA from 1 species